rnacentral:rRNA from 1 species
UGGGGAAUUUUGGACAAUGGGCGAAAGCCUGAUCCAGCAAUGCCGCGUGUGUGAAGAAGGCCUUCGGGUUGUAAAGCACUUUUGUCCGGAAAGAAAUCCUUGGCUCUAAUACAGUCGGGGGAUGACGGUACCGGAAGAAUAAGCACCGGCUAACUACGUGCCAGCAGCCGCGGUAAUACGUAGGGUGCAAGCGUUAGUCGGAAUUACUGGGCGUAAAGCGUGCGCAGGCGGUUUGCUAAGACCGAUGUGAAAUCCCCGGGCUCAACCUGGGAACUGCAUUGGUGACUGGCAGGCUAGAGUAUGGCAGAGGGGGGUAGAAUUCCACGUGUAGCAGUGAAAUGCGUAGAGAUGUGGAGGAAUACCGAUGGCGAAGGCAGCCCCCUGGGCCAAUACUGACGCUCAUGCACGAAAGCGUGGGGAGCAAACAGGAUUAGAUACCCUGGUAGUCCACGCCCUAAACGAUGUCAACUAGUUGUUGGGGAUUCAUUUCCUAGUAACGUAGCUAACGCGUGAAGUUGACCGCCUGGGGAGUACGGUCGCAAGAUUAAAACUCAAAGGAAUUGACGGGGUCAUAGCUGUUUCCU